rnacentral:pre_miRNA from 1 species
AGUGGGAUAGCUGGGUCAAAUGAUAGUUCCAUUUCAAGUUUUCUAAGCAAUCUCCAUACUGCUUUCCAGAUUGGUCGCACCAGUUUGCAGUGCCACCAGCAAU